rnacentral:lncRNA from 1 species
CCCGAUCAAAAUAAUGUCGCAUAUGCAAAGUGGGAGGUAUGUGUUAGUGCAAUUAACUGAUCAUGUGACAACAUCAGAAAGAAUUGUCUGAGAAUUAUAUUGAUCAAGUCAACUUCAGGAUCAAGUCGGUGAAAUAUCGAUCUAAUUUAACCUUCAGCUUGAUUAUAUAUUGAUCUAAACUCAUCUGGAUUGACUCAAUUGAGCAUUGUGAUCAGCUAAGCCACCUACAGAUCUGUCACCUG